UGCAGUUUUGUGCUUGAGCUGUUAUGAAGCACAAAAGGCUGGAGAUUGGUGCUACAAGUGAAGGCUGUGGGACUCAAGAGGAGCACUCAGAUUGCCCAGGCUGGACUAGGAGUUCAUUGUCUUGCUGGUGUAUAAAGAUGUGGAAGAAUGCAGACCUUCUCCCCGAAUCAGAGAUCCUAAAAGGAUAAGGAUGCUCUCCGAGGAAUUAAAUCUCCAGCUACUAUAAGAAAGUUAAAUGUAAAUAUGAAUGUAUAGUCAUUCUGAUUCCAUUUAAAUCAAGGAGGAGAAGGAUCUGGUAGUCCUGGUAGAUAGUAAAUUAUCCAUGAGCCAGCCAUGUGCCCUUGUCGCCAAGAGGGCCAAUGGAAUCCUGGGGUGCCUAAGGAUGAGUGUGGCCAGUAGGUCAAGGGACAUCGUUCUCCCACUCUGCUCUGCCCUGAUGAGGCUACAUCUGGAAUACUGCAUCCAGUUCUGGACUCCCCAGUUCAAGAGAGACAGGGAACUACUGGAGAGAGUCCAGCGGAGGGGAACAAAGGUGACUGGGGGAUUGGAGCAUCUCACGCAUGACGACACCUAAUUAAUGCCUGAUCUAGUGACAACAGCUGCUUUCAGAACUACUGUGAAUAUCUCCUUGGAGCUUUUGAUUUAGCUCAGAUCACAUUGUGAGCUUCACCUUGGAAACAUGGCAUCAUGUGGUUGUUCCUCAGUGCCUUCCUUCCCCCUUGUCACCAGCUUUCCAGAGUGCCUUUGUGUGAGCACACAGGACUCAGAGAUCAACACUCUUGUCAUCUUUCAUACAUUUUGUUGCUAUGCUACUCUGUGGUGCCAAACUAGGCACUACCAUUUCCUCUUUGCAGAAGUCUGGGGUGGCAAGUGUAAGCCUCAGCAAAUUCUGACUAAAAAUAAUGUACCUUACUAAUCUAUUGAGAAUGUCACUGAAAUCAGUGAAGAUGACAUACCAUUUUAAUAAAGAAAGCAAUUUUUGUUGUU